CACAAGGAGCUGGGAGGGAACACAGCCAGGACAGCCAACCCUAAGUGACCCGAGGGAUAUCCCAUAACAUAUGGGGUCAUGCUCAGCAUAUAAAGGGAAAAGGAGUGAUUGAGUGGCUUUGUGGGACUGAAGUACUGGCUGGGAUUAAACCAUGACACAGAAUUACAAAUGCAGGACCACAAUGGCUUUUCAUCAUGUUUCUUCCUACCAAAAUUCUCAUAGACAUCUUGGGCAACAGUAAAAGCUGGGGGUGAGAUGGCAGGACCAACUCUGAAAUCAGCAGUUCUUCUGAGACCUGUGUCUGCUCAUCUGCCUGCCUCAAUCCCAGCAAGCAUACAGAGGGCACUUUAAAUAUAACCUUGGCCUCUGGUACAGAAAUAAAUCACGAAACAUGACCCUCAUGCCAGUUAAAGAAGCAGCAUUGCAAUUCCUACUGCACUGAUUCAUAUUUGUGAGUAUUUCCCUUUCCUUGAAAAGCCGCUGUGAGUGCCAGCUCCAUGAAGAAGAAGAGCACAAAGCACAAGUACCAGCCAAGUCCCACUGAGACUCUGCAGCCUGUGGGUGACAGAUGAGAUCUUUGCUGUUGUGUCCUGUGUCUGGCCAGGGCUGUGGUUUCCCCCAUCAGCAGCAGUCAUAGGGAUUGUCUGCACAGUGUCACAGGAGCUAAUAACUGGAAAACACAUUUUAAAUUCCCUGCUUCAGUUUGGUUUCUGAGGGGAAACCCACAGGGUGGCGACUGCAAGCAGGAGUAGUUCAGGUACCUGGGUUCCCAGGAUAUCCCACUCUCAGCAAUGCCAUGGCAAAACCUGCAC